rnacentral:rRNA from 1 species
AUUGAACGCUGGCGGCAGGCCUAACACAUGCAAGUCGAGCGGAAGAAGCGAGCUUGCCCCUGGAUUCAGCGGCGGACGGGUGAGUAAUGCCUAUGAAUCUGCCUGGUCGUGGGGGAUAACGUCCGGAAACGGGCGCUACUACUGCAGGCGACGUGAGGGAGAAAGUGGGGGAGCUUGGGACUUCUUGGUAUCGGGUGAGGCUAGGUGUGUUUAGGUAGUUGGUGGGGUAAAGGCCUACCAAGGCGACGAUCCGUAACUGGGCUGAGAGGAUGAUCAGUCACACUGGAACUGAGACACGGACCAGACUCCUACGGGAGGCAGCAGUGGGGAAUAUUGGACAAUGGGCGAAAGCCUGAUACAGUCGUGCCGCGUGUGUUAAGAAGGUCUUCGGAUUGUAAAGCACGUUAAGUUGGGAGGAAGGGCAGUAAGUUAAUACCUUGCUGUUUUGACGUUACCAACAGAAUAAGCACCGGCUAACUACGUG